UACAGAGGUCUCAAGCGUUGUUCGGAAUUACUGGGCGUAAAGCGCGUGUAGGCGGCUCUUCAAGUCAGACGUGAAAGCCCCGGGCUUAACUCGGGAACUGCGUUUGAUACUGUCGAGCUAGAGUGUGGAAGGGGCGAUUGGAAUUCCGUGUGUAGCGGUGAAAUGCGUAGAUAUACGGAGGAACACCAGAGGCGAAGGCGGAUCGCUGGGCCAACACUGACGCUGAGACGCGAAAGCUAGGGGAGCAAACGGG
rnacentral:rRNA from 1 species